rnacentral:lncRNA from 1 species
CGGCGGUGCUGGGCCAGGGGAAGGAAGGGACACGGAGGCCGCCCUCGCCCCGCCACCUCCUACCAGCUUCCCCCCAGCCCCGGCUCCGGGAGAUGUGCCGGGCGGGGGGCCCGGGUUCGCCGAGCCGCAGGAGAGACACGCUGGGCCGACCCCAGAGCGGCGCUGGACAGAGCCAACACAGAUCUAUAGAUUUCUUUGAACUCGGAAUCUCAUAGCACCAAUAUUUUUGCACAGAACUCUUACUUACAUGUCUCAUCGAAACUCCAGAACAAACAUCAAAAGGAAAACAUUUAAAGUUGAUGAUAUGUUAUCAAAAGUAGAGAAAAUGAAAGGAGAGCAAGAAUCUCAUAGCUUGUCAGCUCAUUUGCAGCUUACAUUUUUGGUUUCUUCCACAAAAAUGAUAAGCCAUCACCAAACUCAGAAAAUGAACAAAAUUCUGUUACCCUGGAAGUCCUGCUUGUGAAAGUUUGCCACAAAAAAAGAAAGGAUGUAUGUUGUCCAAUAAGGCAAGUUCCCACAGGUAAAAAGCAGGUGCCUUUGAAUCCUGACCUCAAUCAAACAAAACCUGGAAAUUUCCCGUCCCUUGCAGUUUCCAGUAAUGAAUUUGAACCUAGUAACAGCCACAUGGUGAAGUCUUACUCGUUGCUAUUUAGAGUGACUCGUCCAAGAAGAAGAGAGUUUAAUGGAAUGAUUAAUGGAGAAACCAUGAAAAUAUUGAUGUCAGUGAAGAGCUUCCAGCCAGAAGAAAAUGAAAUCGUGAGGAUGGGGAAAAGACAUUUGUUGCACAAAUGACAGUAUUUGAUAAAAACAGGUAAUGUUGAUGAACAAGCGAGGCUCCCACAAUGUUCUGGAAAUGUUUUCAUUCUGA